rnacentral:rRNA from 1 species
UACGUAGGGUGCAAGCGUUGUCCGGAAUUAUUGGGCGUAAAGAGCUCGUAGGCGGUUUGUUGCGUCGGCUGUGAAAUCCCGAGGCUCAACCUCGGGUCUGCAGUCGAUACGAGCAAACUAGAGUGUUGCAGGGGAGACUGGAAUUCCUGGUGUAGCGGUGAAAUGCGCAGAUAUCAGGAGGAACACCGGUGGCGAAGGCGGGAUCCUGGGCCGAUACUGACGCUGAGGAGCGAAAGCGUGGGGAGCGAACAGG